rnacentral:tRNA from 1 species
AAAAUUUUAGUUUAAUUUAUAAAAUAUUUCUUUUACAAUGAAAAGAUUAAAUAUUUAAAUAUUUAAAAUUUU